rfam:Spinacia oleracea cultivar SynViroflay scaffold83863.1, whole genome shotgun sequence.
AGCCUACUAGCUCAAUAGGAAGAGCAUUGUGCAAAUUUGCACAAGAUGUGGGUUCAAAUCCCAUGUAGGUUC